UGACAAAUUUAUCAACGCACAGCUCAAACUACUGGACAGAUCUGGCUAAAAGGCAUGCAGAUAGCUAUUAUGACGUAAACAUCCGCCAAGGAUUUUUGAAAAUUCAACUCCUAUGGGGUGAAAUAGGGAUUUGAAAUUGUGAUGUAAAUCCACGCGGACGAAGUCGCG